UACGUAGGGUGCAAGCGUUGUCCGGAAUUAUUGGGCGUAAAGAGCUCGUAGGCGGUUUGUCGCGUCGGCUGUGAAAACUCGGGGCUCAACCCCGAGCCUGCAGUCGAUACGGGCGGACUAGAGGUAGGCAGGGGAGAACGGAAUUCCUGGUGUAGCGGUGAAAUGCGCAGAUAUCAGGAGGAACACCGGUGGCGAAGGCGGUUCUCUGGGCCUUACCUGACGCUGAGGAGCGAAAGCGUGGGGAGCAAACAGG
rnacentral:rRNA from 1 species